rnacentral:rRNA from 1 species
AGCGAACGCUGGCGGCAGGCCUAACACAUGCAAGUCGAACGAACCUUUCGGGGUUAGUGGCGGACGGGUGAGUAACACGUGGGAACGUGCCUUUAGGUUCGGAAUAACUCAGGGAAACUUGUGCUAAUACCGAAUGUGCCCUUCGGGGGAAAGAUUAAUCGCCUUUAGAGCGGCCCGCGUCUGAUUAGCUAGUUGGUUGAGGUAAUGGCUCACCAAGGCGACGAUCAGUAGCUGGUCUGGGAGGAUGAUCAGCCACAUUGGGACUGAGACAUGGCCCAAACUCCACGGGAGGCAGCAGUGGGGAAUCUUGCGCAAUGGGCGAAAGCCUGACGCAGCCAUGCCGCGUGAAUGAUGAAGGUCUUAGGAUUGUAAAAUUCUUUCACCGGGGACGAUAAUGACGGUACCCGGAGAAGAAGCCCCGGCUAACUUCGUG